GAUGAACGCUAGCGGGAGGCCUAACACAUGCAAGCCGAGCGGUAUUGUUUCUUCGGAAAUGAGAGAGCGGCGUACGGGUGCGUAACACGUGUGCAACCUGCCUUUAUCUGGGGGAUAGCCUUUCGAAAGGAAGAUUAAUACUCCAUAAUAUAUUGAACGGCAUCGUUUAAUAUUGAAAGCUCCGGCGGAUAGAGAUGGGCACGCGCAAGAUUAGCUAGUUGGUGAGGUAACGGCUCCCCAAGGCGAUGAUCUUUAGGGGGCCUGAGAGGGUGAUCCCCCACACUGGUACUGAGACACGGACCAGACUCCUACGGGAGGCAGCAGUGAGGAAUAUUGGUCAAUGGGUGCAAGCCUGAACCAGCCAUCCCGCGUGAAGGACAACUGCCCUAUGGGUUGUAAACUUCUUUUGUAUAGGGAUAAACCUACCCUCGUGAGGGUAGCUGAAGGUACUAUACGAAUAAGCACCGGCUAACUCCGUGCCAGCAGCCGCCGUAA
rnacentral:rRNA from 1 species